rnacentral:rRNA from 1 species
AACGAACGCUGGCGGCAGGUUUAACACAUGCAAGUCGAGCGCCCCGCAAGGGGAGCGGCAGACGGGUGAGUAACGCGUGGGAAUCUACCCAUCUCUACGGAAUAACGCAUGGAAACGUGUGCUAAUACCGUAUACGUCCUUCGGGAGAAAGAUUUAUCGGAGAUGGAUGAGCCCGCGUUGGAUUAGCUAGUUGGUGGGGUAAAGGCCUACCAAGGCGACGAUCCAUAGCUGGUCUGAGAGGAUGAUCAGCCACACUGGGACUGAGACACGGCCCAGACUCCUACGGGAGGCAGCAGUGGGGAAUAUUGGACAAUGGGCGCAAGCCUGAUCCAGCCAUGCCGCGUGAGUGAUGAAGGCCCUAGGGUUGUAAAGCUCUUUCACCGGUGAAGAUAAUGACGGUAACCGGAGAAGAAGCCCCGGCUAACUUUGUGCCAGCCGCCGCUGUAAAAC